GAUGAACGCUAGCGGCAGGCCUAAUACAUGCAAGACGAACGGUAAGUUGAGUAGCAAUACUUAGCCAAGAGUGUCGUACGGGUGCGUAACACGUAUGCAACCUACCCUAUACAGGAGGAUAGCCUAGGGAAACCUGGAUUAACCCUUCAUAGUAUUAUUGGAUGGCAUCAUUUGAUAAUUAAAACUGAGGUGGUAUAGGAUGGGCAUGCGUCUGAUUAGUUAGUUGGCGGGGUAAUGGCCCACCAAGACGAUGAUCAGUAGGGGUUCUGAGAGGAAGAUCCCCCACACUGGCACUGAGAUACGGGCCAGACUCCUACGGGAGGCAGCAGUAGGGAAUAUUGGUCAAUGGAUGCAAGUCUGAACCAGCCAUGCCGCGUGCAGGAAGAAGGCCUUCUGGGUUGUAAACUGCUUUUGCCAGGGGAUAAAAUUUCCAUGCGCGGAAAACUGAAGGUACCUGGUGAAUAAGCCACGGCUAACUACGUGCCAGCAGCCGCGGUAAU
rnacentral:rRNA from 1 species